GCUUUUUACCAAAAGAUUCUUAUGUGCUGCUGGAUUUCCAUCAGGCCAAAAAUAUGUGCUGCACAUUCAGUAUAUGUACAUUGCAAAAACUAAAUUCAAUAUCAAUGUAAGCUAAAAAAAAAGAAUAAGAAAAAGUGAAUGGAUGACACUAGUCAUGUAGGAUCUCCUGAACAUAUCAUCAUGAAGUUUAAUCUGUUUAUUGUUUCUUUUGUCUGUAAUGCUGGAUCGACCUAGGCAUUAUCCACUUGUCUUCAGACAUGGCAGAUCAGACAAUUGUCACUCACUGAUCAAUAUUUUCUGUUGGACAUGAUUCAGCUGUGCCAGUCCUCCACUCUGGGAGUAUAUUUAUUAGAGAAAUCCUAUUGCAGUGUAAUUAAACAUUGAUUUUUCAACCCUAAACAAUUAGAGUGCUGCUUUGAGACCGAUUCAGUCUUUUAGCGUCACCCUCUGUGAUUAUUCUUUUGUGUUUCUGUGGUUUCAGGGAUAUGAUGAUGGUUAUGAUGGGGAAUAUGAUGACCAGAGUUAUGAGGGCUAUGAUGACAACUACAACCACCAGUCGAAAAGGUACACAUUUAUUUUUAAAAGACAUUUUGUCACAGCAUGAUCUAAUUGAUGCUUAACUUUGGCUCUAAGAAUCUGUCAAAAUGUCUCCUAAGAAUUAUUUUUACUCCUACAGUGUCUCCGAAUUUUAUGAAUAUGGACAUGUUAAUAAUGAUGAAGCCUACAACAAUUAUGCAGAAGAAGACUGGAUUUCAUCGCGGCCCAACCUCAAAGCUCCAGCAUCAAGACUUACUCGAGGGGGAUACAGAGAUCACCCCUAUGGUAGAUAUUAAAGGUGCUCCAGAUCAUGUGACCUCCAUACAACGCCAACCUUAUUAACUAAAUAAUCUAAAAUGGGGUUUUUAAGUGAUAGGUCAAUCUUGUUUUUAUAUUCACACUAACCUUGGGGGGAAAAAAGCUACAUGGUCCCUUCUUUUCUUAUCUGAAACUGCUGACUUCUUUGUAUGAUACCUUAUGAGCAUUAAUUCUGGCCACAAUUUGGCAGAGUACUUUUGUCAUUCCUUUAGUUUUCCAUUGUUUGUCUCCCAAAUGUAAAGCAUGGAAUUAGCUGCACAUUAUGUUUCCCUGACUUUGGGAACCUUUCUGUUAAGACAAAAAUGUAUCGACAGAGUGGAGAGACUCAUUUUGUACAUAACAUCUUCCUAAUACUUCUUGAUUUGAUGAUGGUAAAUACUGAGUUUGUAUAUUUAAUUUUGAUAUCAGUAUUGGGUUUGAAAGCAAUUGGCUAUGUAUGUAGCCACAUCCAAGUGCUUUGCUUUGUGUGUAGCUUGUAUUUGUACAUAAAAAUUUAAUAAAAAGGAUGUAAAGCUCCUUGUGCA
ensembl:lncRNA